CCUACGGGUGGCAGCAGUGAGGAAUAUUGGUCAAUGGGCGAGAGCCUGAACCAGCCAAGUCGCGUGAGGGAGUACUGCCCUAUGGGUUGUAAACCUCUUUUGUCGGGGAGCAAAAGCCGGACGUGUCCGGCUGUGAGAGUACCCGAAGAAAAAGCAUCGGCUAACUCCGUGCCAGCAGCCGCGGUAAUACGGAGGAUGCGAGCGUUAUCCGGAUUUAUUGGGUUUAAAGGGUGCGCAGGCGGAUUUUUAAGUCAGCGGUAAAAUCGUGGGGCUCAACCCCAUCCAGCCGUUGAAACUGGGGAUCUAGAGUGGGCGAGAGGUAUGCGGAAUGCGUGGUGUAGCGGUGAAAUGCAUAGAUAUCACGCAGAACCCCGAUUGCGAAGGCAGCAUACCGGUGCACAACUGACGCUCAGGCACGAAAGCGUGGGUAUCGAACAGGAUUAGAUACCCCGGUAGUC
rnacentral:rRNA from 1 species